rnacentral:misc_RNA from 1 species
GGGAUUACCCAAGGACUAGCUUACUGGGAAGUGAGGGGGGGCUUUGUUAACAGUCUCUUUGUUAAUAGUUUGUGAUUGUUAAGAAAUGUUUGAACUCCCUGAUGUACAAUGUUAUGGCUUUUGCAAGGAGGUAAUACAAUUAUAAUGCUGUCGUGUUUCCGUAUUGAUACCUCCUAUGGUAAUUGACAGGUCAAGUCUACUAGGCGUUCUGCCUAAAUUCCCUUUAUGCUUUGUCUGUUGCUAUACAAAGCACCUGCUAUAGGUAAUUAAAGCUUCUGAAGCAGUGCUCACACCUCCCUUUCCCGUUUAAUAUUUACAGCCCUGGAGUUUUUAAUCACCAUACAGUGAACACUGGUUUUCAUUCAACAGUUAUAUUUAAAUCAUCAUUGUAAAAGAAUGCUAAUAAUUUACACUACAGUUAUUUGUUUUUAAAUAUUUAAUUACGAUCCCAUGUGUGUCUUGGCUUUGCUAUAAAAAAAAAGAAGAAAGUAAGGAGUAAUUUUCUUCAAGGUCUUCUAUCAGGGGUUUGCAUACUGUUGUCAGUAUUGUGUAAUUAUAGAUGCAAGUUUGAAGUGACAUGCAACCAUAAGGAAAUAUUAUAAGAGAAAUAAGAUAUUCAUGUUUGGAAUCUUACCAAUGUUGAAAAUAAAGUGUUGUUUUAU